rnacentral:rRNA from 1 species
AACGAACGCUGGCGGCAUGCCUAACACAUGCAAGUCGAACGAGACCUUCGGGUCUAGUGGCGCACGGGUGCGUAACGCGUGGGAACCUUCCCUUAGGGUCGGAAUAACUCCCCGAAAGGGGUGCUAAUACCGGAUAAUGUCUUCGGACCAAAGAUUUAUCGCCCUUGGAUGGGCCCGCGUUGGAUUAGCUAGUUGGUAGGGUAAAAGCCUACCAAGGCGACGAUCCAUAGCUGGUCUGAGAGGAUGAUCAGCCACACUGGGACUGAGACACGGCCCAGACUCCUACGGGAGGCAGCAGUGGGGAAUAUUGGACAAUGGGCGAAAGCCUGAUCCAGCAAUGCCGCGUGAGUGAUGAAGGCCUUAGGGUUGUAAAGCUCUUUUACCCGGGAUGAUAAUGACAGUACCGGGAGAAUAAGCUCCGGCUAACUCCGUG